rnacentral:misc_RNA from 1 species
AUGGAUGAUUCAUACGCGAUAGCUACACCGCACAAUGAUGUUUUUAAUCACGCAUUCGCAGAGAUGAACCCUCACGGAGCACCAAGAAUAGGAGCUGCAGAAGCAGCUACUUUCCUUAAAAAAUCAAACUUGGCGAUGCCUGUGUUAGGCCAGAUAUGGGAGCUUAGCGACUCUCAAAAAGUUGGAUCAUUAGAUAAGAGAGGAGCAUUUGUUGCUUUUAAACUAGUCGCAGCUGCUCAACAAGGGAAGCCCGUCGCCAAUUCUUCCCUCUACGAUUCUUCCCUUCAGCCACCACGGUUUGCACCACCUGUACCACCAGCAAACAUGCAGCAUCAUUUCCAACCAUCGUUCCCAUCGGUUGGCCGUGCUCCUCCAGUGCCACCACCACCACAUCCAUCACAUCCUUAUUCGAUCUCUUCUCAACAAUCUUCUCCAGCUCAUCCAUCGUCAGCUUUUCCACCACAAUGGCCGAUAACACCAACUGACCAGGCUAAAUAUGACUCCAUCUUCCAAUCAUUGAAUCCUGUAAACGGAAAAUUGUCUGGUGCACACGUACGCCCGGUUCUGAUGAACUCUGGACUUGAUGCUCAUGCUCUGGCUCGAAUUUGGGAACUUUCGGAUCAGGACAAAGAUGGAAACCUUGAUCGAAUCGAAAUGUCUGUUGCACUUCAUCUUGUAUACCGAUCACUUCAAUCAGACCCGGUUCCUGCACAGCUCCCACCAAAUCUCAUUCAUCCUUCGAAAGCAAUGUAUGCUCACAGCUCACCGAAUUUCGCUGCUCCUCCACAUCCUCCACGUCCGAUGAUGGGAUCGAGAGCAGGAUCUGUGACGUCAUUGGAUGAUGUGAACAUGAGUCAAUCGUAUUCUGCAACGAUGCCACGUGCAUAUCCACCACAACCAGGUCGUGCUUACUCUGCACAGGCUCAUGUGAAUGGAUCACGAACCAGUGGUGCAUCAACUCCGAUAUCUGCUUCUCACUCGAUUCACUCAUUUCCUGCUGGUGAAUGGCCUAUCAAUACAGGAGAUUAUGCUGAUCAAUUUGCUCAAACUGAUACGAAUAAGGAUGGAUUGGUUGAUGGCAUGGAUAUGAGAGCUCCCAUGAUGACUACUGGAUUGAGUGCACAGAUAUUAGCACAUGUCUGGGCAUUAGCAGAUAUAAAAAAAUGUGGACAGUUGAAUUUGGAGCAAUUUGCUUUGACAAUGCAUCUUCUUGACAUGGCAAAACGAGGCGAGUCCAUCCCAUCAGAACUGCCUUUACAUCUGAUUCCACCUUCAUUCCGCCCACCUACGGAACCUUCAGCUUUGCAUCAUCCUGCUCAAUCAGUUUCAACUCCACAGCUCCCAGAAGCAACUUCGAUGGAAAUUAAAGAAGCUUUGGAAGGCGAAAACGAAGAGAUGAAGCAGCUCGCAGAGUCUAUUCAAUCAAUGCUGGUGGAGCGGAAAACUGCAGAAGAAGCUGUUUUACAACUAGAAGCUGAUAUGACUAUUAAGAACUCGAGUAUCAAAAAUCUGCAGGUUGAAUUGGCCACCUUGGAGUCGACAGUUAAACAGUUGGAGCGACAAAAAGGUGAAGCCACACGAAGAUUAGCUGAUUAUGAUACUCAAAUAGAACAGUUAGAAUCAGCAUGUAAAGCACAGAAAGAAACGAAAGAAGAUACCGAGAAACGAAUGCAACAAAUUGAUGAAGAUGCAAAGAAUGCUGAGGACUGUAAAGCAAAUGAUGAAAAAGAAAUGGAAGAAUUGAAAAAAGAAAUUGAAAUGCUCGAUAAUCAAUUCAAAACUGUUCGUGGAGAAAUUGUCAAAGAAACAUCACAAAGAGAGCAAAAGGUGGCCGAAUUGACAACUCUAGAACGAAAAGAAGCAAGAGAUCAGAUACAAAUGGAAAAGCUGGAUGCUGCAAUCGAGAACACGACAAAACUAACAGAACAAGUAUCAGAUGCAGUCGAAAAAUCCGAGGAGGAAAUGGUUCAAAUUCUGAGGUCGCAACAACGAUUAUUGUCUACUGUAAUCGAUCAAUCGUUGCUAUCCGAUGACACUGUUUAUGGAGAAACAGCUGGAACAUCAUCUCAAAAUCAUGUUCAACAACCACCUGAUCCGUUUGCAUCCGCCAGAGCAAAUCCUGCUGCUGAUCCAUUCGCCCAAGUAGAUCAGUUCGGCUCAUCUGGACAUUUUGAUGCCGCUUUCCCAACUGAUCCAUUUGCUCAAGGAGGCUUCCCAUCGGAUUCUGGCUUCGCACAAUCGGCUCCCGCAAAACCUGCUCCACCUCGCCCAGCUCCUCCAAAAUCUGCUCGCGAAACACCUGUCAAUGAUCCUUUUGCGUAAGUCUUAGUGAGUAUCAAUUUAUUUAAAGUCUAAAUAAUUUCAGCCCAUCACAAGGACAAUCAACUCAACCGGCUGGAUUCGCUGAUUUUGCGGACUUUGGAUCGGCUUUCAAUUGA